rnacentral:rRNA from 2 species
UACAGAGGUCUCGAGCGUUGUUCGGAUUCAUUGGGCGUAAAGGGUGCGUAGGCGGCGAGCUAAGUUUGGUGUGAAAUCCUGGGGCUUAACCUCAGAAAUGCACUGAAUACUGGUUUGCUAGAGGACUGGAGAGGAGAUUGGAAUUCACGGUGUAGCAGUGAAAUGCGUAGAUAUCGUGAGGAAGACCAGUGGCGAAGGCGAAUCUCUGGACAGUUCCUGACGCUGAGGCACGAAGGCCAGGGGAGCAAACGGG